AAUCCUGGCUUUAAAUCCUGCUCCGUAUGAUCUUAGCUGUCUGACUCUGAGAGGGGCUUUUUUGGUUCUCCGGAGCCUGGUUUCUACCCUGUCCUGUCACCAAAUGGGAUCUUACCUGACCAGACUUGUCUGACCUGUUGAAAUGGGACUGCAUGACAGCUUCGCCUCAACAGCAUCAAGAAGCUGUCCACCAUUGCCUUGGCCCUUGGGGUCGAAAGGACCCGAAGUGAGCUUCUGCCUUUCCUUACAGAUACCAUCUAUGAUGAAGAUGAGGUCCUCCUGGCCCUGGCAGAACAGCUGGGAACCUUCACUACCCUGGUGGGAGGCCCAGAGUACGUGCACUGCCUGCUGCCACCGCUGGAGUCGCUGGCCACAGUGGAGGAGACAG
rnacentral:sRNA from 1 species